UACAGAGGUCUCAAGCGUUUGUUCGGAUUCAUUGGGCGUAAAGGGUGCGUAGGCGGCGCGGUAAGUCGGGUGUGAAAUCUUGGAGCUUAACUCCGAGACUGCAUUCGAUACUGCCGUGCUUGAGGACUGGAGAGGAGACUGGAAUUUACGGUGUAGCGGUGAAAUGCGUAGAUAUCGUAAGGAAGACCAGUGGCGAAGGCGGGUCUCUGGACAGUUCCUGACGCUGAAGCACGAAGGCCAGGGGAGCAAACGGG
rnacentral:rRNA from 1 species